GCCGCGGGCAGGCUGAGCGGAAGCGGUGCGGAGGCAGGGGACCAGGCGGUGGGCCUCCUGAUCCGCCUGCGGGUGGGAGCCCAAGUGCGCGAAGAAGCCGCGGUUCCCUCCCCGCCCAUCGCCCCUUCGGCCCCUGCGGGGGCUGUACCCCAGGCGUGCCAUCCGCAGAGGCUGAAAGCACCUGCCUGCUCUGAGGAGCAGACCAUAUUUUCAAUUGUGGUCUAGAAUCCAGUGGACCUUUUGAAGCAAUAACCAAGCCCUCCAGAGUUGGACUUCUCUGAGAAAUUGACAGUUGUUCCACAGUUCCCUGUGGUUCACUAGGUAUGAAGAAGCUUUGCAAGCACCUGGGAUGAAAUUGAGGUCAUGAGUCCCUAUUUAGCCACAGAUGCCCUUUUCUUCUACCUACCUCUAGCAGAUCCCUGUGGGCUUCCUCAGUGACCGAAUCUGCCUGCCUGGCAUUCCAAGGAUGGUGUGAUUAAAAGGGAUAGAUGCCAAGAAGAAUAAAGGAUACCGCAUGGGUGUUGAAGACAAAGGCAACUUCCUCAGUCUCAUUUGAGUGAAUCCGUGUGCCUUUUGCCUCAGCGAUUGUAGAGAAAGAUAAUUGUUCAUUAUUCUCAUGACCUGCGAGAAUGACUAAAAUACAACAUGGAGAAAAUCAUAGUACUAGUCCAUCACUGGACUCUUCCUGAAUAAAUCUUUGAAUAAGUCUGAAUAAAUCCUGAAUAAAUCUUUGAAUUGAUGGAAAUUUGUAUGAAGAGAAACUUGAGCUAUUAACACACAUAAUUUGUU